rnacentral:piRNA from 1 species
UCCCUAAAAGACAAGCUGGAUUCUGGGA